GAUGAAGAACGCAGCGAAAUGCGAUAAGUAAUGUGAAUUGCAGAAUUCAGUGAAUCAUUGAAUCUUUGAACGCACAUUGCGCCCCCUGGCAUUCCGGGGGGCAUGCCUGUCCGAGCGUCAUUACAACCCUCAAGCUCAGCUUGGUGUUGGGCCCCGCCGCCCCGGCGGGCCCUAAAGUCAGUGGCGGUGCCGUCCGGCUCCGAGCGUAGUAAUUCUUCUCGCUCUGGAGGUCCGGUCGCGUGCUCGCCAGCAACCCCCAAUUUUUUUCAGGUUGACCUCGGAUCAGGUAGGGAUACCCGCUGAACUUAAGCAUAUCAAUAAGCGGAGGA
rnacentral:misc_RNA from 1 species